GCCCCCGCCCCGUCGCCUGCGGGCAGGGCAGCGGUGGGGAGAAGCCGCCGGGAGGACACGAUCACACCUGGACGGCAGAGUUGGAUGGUGUCUCUGGAGAUCAGCCCUGUACUCACAGUUGCUGGGCCCUGGGAGAUGCUGGACCGGGAGCCAGGGGCCAGGGGGCCACCAGCGAUGGCCAUAGCCACUGAAGGGUUGAUGGUGCCUCCAAUAUCCCCUUCCGCUUCUGUGUCUGAAUCGAGCAUUGAAGCCAGCCUUGACCGUUGACCUGGGCCCUCUGGAGGGAGGAGCAGGAGGAAAGAAGUAUGAGUCCUUGAUUUAAAUAACACAACAUGGAUGGCAGAGACUGGCUGCUGACUCCCCCCUAGACCCUCUCUUCCCAUUUCUCAGGGUAUGAGUUUGGAGAGGGGUAAAGACUACAUUUCCCAGCCUUCCUUGCUGAUGAGACUAACCAUGUGAUCACAUUCCGGCCAGUGGGAUUUGAGGGAAAAUACCGCAACCACUUAAAUGGAAGGGGCAGGUCUUCCUGGUCCCACAGCCUGUCAAGCCUGCCACACCGAUGAACCAUGGUGAACCCUGAUGGCCAGGCCCACACUAUGGAGCCACACAGCUCACUUAUGCUCAGAAAUAAACUUGGGGCACAUUUAAACCACUUGUGAUUAUGUUGGAGCAAACUAACCUUGGUGCUAACUGGUAAGCCCCAACAAUCGUUUUAAUGACGAGCACGUACUGCUGGGAACCACAAUAAACCAAAGGACUCCAGAUAAUUUUAUGUGUUUCGAAGACAACUGAACAAGGUUUUGAGAGAAGUUUGAAGGAUGAGAAAAAAGGCAUUCUAAGCAGAGGAAAGGACAAGGCAAAGACCCUGGGACAGAUGUGCCCAGCAAGUGUGAAGAACACAAGGAGGUUGCUAUGGCUUCAGGGCCCAGCUGGUGCUUGUUCCUCCCUCAGGCUCUCACGAGCCACUCUGGCCUCACAAGUCAGUCUCAGUGGCUCUUAGUUCUCUGCAACCCGAAGAAAGAAAACCUGCUUGAGCUCUGAGUCCACGGUGGGGCAGGGGCUGGAUCUGCCUUGUGCACUGAGCCUGAUGCAGUUGGUGCUCGACAAAUGAAACCACUGUAGCCCGUCACCGAUGCCCCACUAGCAGCUCUGACGAUGCUGCUUCUCGGGGGCAUUGUUCUUCCCUGCAGCCCUUUCUCAGGGUGGUUUCCUCAUAAUUUGGGUAAGCCCCUGGGAAUGUCAGCCCUUAGGGAGGCUCCAGUGGAACAAGGUCGAGACCUUCGAGACCAGCCCAGAGGUUGCAGGGGAUUGCACAAGGGCUGGCUUGAGCCAGACUGGUGUUUCACAAAUCUGGAAAGUUCCCAUAAAAUCCGAAGUCCCAUUUCACUUUUAAAAUGAGACAUUAUGGCUACAGCUAAUGAGCACAAGCGCUCUGGUCCUUCAUAGGCUCCACGUUCCCAACUGAAGGUGAUGAUAAGGGUGUAAGCUCUGGACUUGGUGGCUUGAGUCCGAAUCCCCAAUUCUGCCCCUUCUCUUUUGUGGUAUCAGGUCUCUGCCUCAGUUUCUCCAUCGGUAAAAUGGAGAUAAUAAUAAAACUUUAUGGGGUUGUUGGGAGAAUUUAAUGAUAUGAUUCAUCUAAAGUGUUUAGAUACACAGUAAGCACUCAA